rnacentral:rRNA from 1 species
UACGGAGGGUGCGAGCGUUGUCCGGAAUCAUUGGGCGUAAAGGGCGCGUAGGUGGCCCCUCAAGCGUGCGGUGAAAGUCAGGGGCUCAACCCCUGAUCGGCCGUGCGAACUGGGGAGCUUGAGCACUGUAGAGGCAGGCGGAAUUCCGGGUGUAGCGGUGGAAUGCGUAGAGAUCCGGAAGAACACCGGUGGCGAAGGCGGCCUGCUGGGCAGUUUGCUGACACUGAGGCUCGAAAGCGUGGGGAGCAAACAGGG